UGACGGUNCCCGAAGAAUAAGCACCGGCUAAUUACGUGCCACCAGCCCGCGGUUAUAAGUAGGGCGCNAGCGUUAAUNGGAAUUUCUGGGCGUAAAGCGUGCGCAGGCGGUUUUGUAAUCCAGAUGUGAAAUCCCCGGGCUCAACCUGGGAAUGGCGUUUGGGACUGCAAGGCUAGANUAUGGCAGAGGAGACUGGAAUUCCUGGUGUAGCGGUGAAAUGCGUAGAUAUCAGGAGGGA
rnacentral:rRNA from 1 species